rnacentral:rRNA from 1 species
GAUUCAGCGGCGGACGGGUGAGUAAUGCCUAGGAAUCUAGCCUGGUAGUGGGGGACAACGUAUCGAAAGGAACGCUAAUACCGCAUACGUCCUACGGGAGAAAGCAGGGGACCUUCGGGCCUUGCGCUAUCAGAUGAGCCUAGGUCGGAUUAGCUAGUUGGUGGGGUAAAGGCCUACCAAGGCGACGAUCCGUAACUGGUCUGAGAGGAUGAUCAGUCACACUGGAACUGAGACACGGUCCAGACUCCUACGGGAGGCAGCAGUGGGGAAUAUUGGACAAUGGGCGAAAGCCUGAUCCAGCCAUGCCGCGUGUGUGAAGAAGGUCUUCGGAUUGUAAAGCACUUAAAGUAGGGGAGGAAAGGGCAGUAAGUUAAUACCCUUGCUGUUUUGACGUUACCAACAGAAUAAGCACCGGCUAACUUCGUGCCAGCAGCCGCGGUAAUACGAAGGGUGCAAGCGUUAAUCGGAAUUACUGGGCGUAAAGCGCGCGUAGGUGGUUUGGUAAGAUGGAUGUGAAAUCCCCGGGCUCAACCUGGGAACUGCAUCCAUAACUGCCUGACUAGAGUACGGUAGAGGGUGGUGGAAUUUCCUGUGUAGCGGUGAAAUGCGUAGAUAUAGGAAGGAACACCAGUGGCGAAGGCGACCACCUGGACUGAUACUGACACUGAGGUGCGAAAGCGUGGGGAGCAAACAGGAUUAGAUACCACUGGUAGUCCACAGCACGUAAACGAUGUCGACUAGCCGUUGGAAUCCUUGAGA